rnacentral:rRNA from 1 species
UACGUAGGGUGCAAGCGUUGUCCGGAAUUAUUGGGCGUAAAGAGCUCGUAGGCGGUCUGUCGCGUCUGCUGUGAAAACUCGGGGCUUAACCCCGGGCCUGCAGUGGGUACGGGCAGACUAGAGUGCGGUAGGGGAGACUGGAAUUCCUGGUGUAGCGGUGAAAUGCGCAGAUAUCAGGAGGAACACCGGUGGCGAAGGCGGGUCUCUGGGCCGUAACUGACGCUGAGGAGCGAAAGCAUGGGGAGCGAGCAGG